CAACUACUCCCUCUGUCCCAAAUUUCUUGUCUUAGAUUUGUCUAGAUACGGAUGUAUCUAAUACUAAAAUGUGACUUGAUACAUCCGUAUCUAGACAAAUCUAAGACAAUAAUUUUGGGACGGAGGGAGUACUUU
rnacentral:pre_miRNA from 1 species